AAAUUUUGAAGGCACGCCAGCUCGUGCUCAGACUUCCUUUUCUCUGUUUGUUUUCCAGAAUUCAGGUCAGUUUCUAUCUCCAGAUCUUCCUAUCACAAGAAAUUGGAUUUCAGCUCUGGUUUUCUCCAUGGGACACAGCACAAACAUUGGAUUGGGGGUCACCUUCUGACUUAAAUCACUUCUUGUCUCAUCAUGAAAGGUGAGCAGCUUGACCUUCACAGCAGAAGGGACUGGUGACAAGUCAGGAAACCUGAGCGAACUUCCCAAGGACCUAACCCUUGGGAAGAGGUUAAGGCUUUAACAAGGAAAACAAAGAAACAACUCAAUAGCAGGCAAUAGGACAGCGUUUAAUUGAGAUAUGGUUUGAAUAUUAAAAAAAAAUCUGGUGGGGCCACAGUGUUCAUAGAAAAGAAUUGCUCCUGUGGUCAAGGUGGCCAAGAGAAGGCUCUCAGAAUCAGAUCUCAGAUGGGAUGGAAGACAAGAUGUGGAAGAAAUUAGUGGGGUUUUCUUGAUACUUAAAAGGUGACCUUGUUUCCAAGAUUGUUGAUAACGGUGUUUUGGUUCCAUUAUCUCCCAUCUCGCUGCCCCAACCCCACUGUUUUUGUCUGGAGGCUGCAUGUGUUGGCGCAGAGUUAUUCCCAUUGGCCUCAGAGCCCAGUUACUCAUUCAAAAAUAUUUAUUGAAAGCCUUGUACAUGCCAGGUAUGUUCUAGUUGCUGCAGAGACCAAAACAACCACAGAGCUUGUGGCCUCUUCAAGGAAAGACAGACAAUAAACAAUGAACAAAUAAAUAAAUGAACUAGUACAAAUAGUAGUUGAUAAUAUCAAGAAAAUACAUGGGAGGAUGGGAGAGAGAGUGGCUAGUUGGGGAUUUUCUUCUUUAGAUAGGACCCAGGGAGGCCUUUGUGAAAGGAAUGCAUGUGAGCUGAGUGGCACCGAUGACGAGAAGCCAGCCACCAAGGGCCAGCUGGGAGAGUGUCCCUGGCAAGAAGUGCUGGUGCAAAGUUUGGAGAUGGGGAAGAGCUUGGAAAAAUACAGUAAGCAGGAGAGGAGAGGAGCCAGAGAGAAGCAGAAGACCAUCAAUCAAUCAGCUGUGCCCUUGAACUCACUAUGCUGGGAGCUAGAAGGUUCUCCAUCCACGUAA
rnacentral:lncRNA from 1 species